AGACCCGAAACCCGGUGAUCUAGCCAUGGGCAGGUUGAAGGUUGGGUAACACUAACUGGAGGACCGAACCGACUAAUGUUGAAAAAUUAGCGGAUGACCUGUGGCUGGGGGUGAAAGGCCAAUCAAACCGGGAGAUAGCUGGUUCUCCCCGAAAGCUAUUUAGGUAGCGCCUCGUGAAUUCAUCUCCGGGGGUAGAGCACUGUUUCGGCUAGGGGGCCAUCCCGGCUUACCAACCCGAUGCAAACUGCGAAUACCGGAGAAUGUUAUCACGGGAGACACACGGCGGGUGCUAACGUCCGUCGUGAAGAGGGAAACAACCCAGACCGCCAGCUAAGGUCCCAAAGUCAUGGUUAAGUGGGAAACGAUGUGGGAAGGCCCAGACAGCCAGGAUGUUGGCUUAGAAGCAGCCAUCAUUUAAAGAAAGCGUAAUAGCUCACUGGUCGAGUCGGCCUGCGCGGAAGAUGUAACGGGGCUAAACCAUGCACCGAAGCUGCGGCAGCGAACGUAUCACUUAAAGCGAUUCAGCGGGUUACGAUUGACGGAGCGAAGCGACGUCAAAGCGUAUACAAAGUCGAGUCGGUUUAAGGAUACGUUCGUUGGGUAGGGGAGCGUUCUGUAAGCCUGUGAAGGUGUGUCGUGAGGCAUGCUGGAGGUAU
rnacentral:rRNA from 1 species